rnacentral:miRNA from 1 species
UCGGACAACACCGACCCCCAGC